rnacentral:rRNA from 1 species
GUAGCUGGUCUGAGAGGAUGGUCAGCCACACUGGAACUGAGACACGGUCCAGACACCUACGGGUGGCAGCAGUCGAGAAUCAUUCGCAAUGGGGGAAACCCUGACGAUGCGACGCCGCGUGGAGGAUGAAGGCCUUAGGGUUGUAAACUCCUGUCAAGAGGGAAUAAGCAAGUGAAGGUACCUCUAGAGGAAGGGGCGGCUAAUUCCGUGCCAGCAGCCGCGGUAACACGGAAGCCCCGAGCGUUGUUCGGAUUCAUUGGGCGUAAAGGGUGCGUAUGCGGCGCGGAAAGUCCGGCGUGAAAGGCAGGGGCUCAACCUCUGGACUUGCGUUGGAUACUUCCGUGCUUGAGGACUGGAGGGGAGACUGGAAUUCACGGUGUAGCAGUGAAAUGCGUAGAUAUCGUGAGGAAGGCCGGUGGCGAAGGCGAGUCUCUGGACAGAUCCUGACGCUGAGGCACGAAGGCUGGGGGAGCGAACAGGAUUAGAUACCCUGGUAGUCCCAGCAGUAAACGAUGUGAGCUUGAUGUGGGGGGAUUCGACCCCUUCCGUGUCGAAGCUAACGCGAUAAGCUCACCGCCUGAGGAGUACGGCCGCAAGGCUAAAACUCAAAGAAAUUGACGGGGACCCGCACAAGCGGUGGAGUAUGUGGCUUAAUUCGAUGCAACGCGAAGAACCUUACCUGGCCUUGACAUGCAUUGUGUCGUCGGUGAAAGCCGGCUAGUCCUGGAAACAGGACGCUUUGCACAGGUGCUGCAUGGCUGUCGUCAGCUCGUGUCGUGAGAUGUUGGGUUAAGUCCCGCAACGAGCGCAACCCUUGUGGUCAGUUACUAACCGGCUUAGCCGGAGGACUCUGGCCAGACUGCCCUGUCAAACGGGGAGGAAGGUGGGGACGACGUCAAGUCAGUAUGGCCCUUAUGGCCAGGGCUACACACGUACUACAAUGCCCGGUACAAUGUGAACCGAAACCGCGAGGUGGAGGAAAUCGCUCUUGAAAACCGGGCCCAGUUCGGAUUGGAGUCUGCAACUCGACUCCAUGAAGUCGGAAUCGCUAGUAAUGGCGUAUCAGCAACGACGCCGUGAAUACGUUCCCGGGUCUUGUACACACCGCCCGUCACAUCAUGGAAGUCUCCUGUACCCGAAGCACGUGCGCCAACCUUUCAGGAGGCAGCGUUCGAAGGUAUGG